AUGUCCAGGCUCCUGGAGGGCGACGACACCAGGCUUCCGAGGGUUGAUGAUACCUUUACACAAAAGACGGUUAAUGAUGCGAGAAAGAGGAAGUGGAGGAUGCCACAGAGGAAGCAAACGAAGAGGUCUGGACAUCCUGCAGGCGAGGAAUUGUUGGACGAGAUGGUGUGGGAGAUCUUAAUCCGGCUGCCUGUGGAGUCGCUGGCUAGGAUCAAGUUGGUUAGCAAGGUCUGGUACACCAUUAUCUCCCAACCUGUUUUUGUUCGUGCACACCUCCAAUGCUCCAAACAGAAACAACAUCACAAUCCGUCUUCCUUCCUCAUCACCCCCCAGAUUUAUCUACAUUCCAAUCCCUCAGGCAUUUUUUCCACCAACAUCCGUUUCUUCCAGUGGUCUUUACAAGAAGAUGAUUUGCCAAAAGUAGCAACAAAAGUUGGAAUGAGUCAUAGUAGUAGCGCAAUGCUUCUUCACGGGAGGCACUUCCCGGCUGGCAAGUUUGGGUUGGUGUCCCAGAUGGCACACUGCGAUGGGUUGGUGCUGCUCCCUACAGACACCAAUGCUUAUGUCUUCAACCCGGCCACUAGAGAUGGCAUUGCUCUGCCGAGGAGUCAUCACAACGUGUUGCAACGUCUCGUAUGCCUUCCCAUUGGUUUGGGCCUUGAUGUUUCCACUGGCACAUAUAAGGUUGCACGGUCUUUCUUCCGUUCAUGUGAUUACAAUUCCGUUGCAAUGGGGAUGGAGGUCAUCACCAUUAAUUGCCGAGAGGGGUCUUGGAGGGAAACCUUGGUGGAUCCACCGUACCUUAUCCUUUGUCCGCAAACUGCCAUACACUGCAAGGGGUGUCUAUUCUAUUUCAUCGAUAGGGAAAAUCAGCCAUGCUCCCCACAGGGGCUGCUUCGUUUCAGCCUUCAAGACGAAACUUUCGGCAUCACUCUGUUGCUUAACAACCUCUACCCUACAGUUGAAGAUGAAGAUAUUGUUAUCCAUGAGCUUGGUGGGGAAUGCGCUACUUUCUUCUGCAAGAGUAUGCAACGAGUAUUGAUCUGGAUGACAAGAGAUAUAUUGGUCCCGGAAUGGGAAUGUCACUAUGUAAUGAAUGUUUCAGACCAGUGCUUGCCAAUGGCCUCACUUAGCAAUGGCGAGAUUCUUCUACGGAGAGGCCAUUGUCUCUUCCGUUAUUACAUGAAGGAUCAUGGUGUAAAAGAAAACGACAUGUUCGAUAUCGAUGAGCUAAGGUUCCUUGGGCCUAGUGAAGACACAUUGGGACAUGCAUGGGAAAAUUUAUUUUGGUUCGACCUACUCUAUUACACGCCAAGUCUUGUUCCAGUUACUCCUAAGGCGAGCUUACAUGCCUCAUAA
rnacentral:rRNA from 1 species